AAAGAGAUGAUUUGCCAUUGUGUAAGACUGAAAGGGUGGAUGAUUGUCCUCCAUGUGUGCUUAAUACAGAGGCAUCCUUCCCCUUGCUCCAAUAUAAAAGAAGAAAGCAUAACGGUGAUACAGUAUCGAACCAUUCAAACGCUUCGGAGAAUUCAACAAGGACAACUCAGGAUCCUUGCUCAUCUGCAACAUCAACAGCUGCAACAACAACUACAGACACAACAAUGACGACUGCUGCAGCAACAACGGCUAUAUCUGCAUUGUUGGAAUUUUCUCUAAUGGAAUCGAUCGAAC
rnacentral:misc_RNA from 1 species